rnacentral:rRNA from 1 species
UACGUAGGGACCAAGCGUUGUUCGGAUUUACUGGGCGUAAAGGGCGCGUAGGCGGCUUAACAAGUCACUUGUGAAAUCUCCGGGCUUAACUCGGAACGGCCAAGUGAAACUGUCAAGCUAGAGUGCAGAAGGGGCAAUCGGAAUUUCCGGUGUAGCGGUGAAAUGCGUAGAGAUCGGAAGGAACACCAGUGGCGAAGGCGGCUACCUGGCCUAAUACUGACACUGAGGCACGAAAGCGUGGGGAGCAAACAGG